rnacentral:rRNA from 1 species
AUGGGUAGUGUUCACGGUACUACUUGUGCCAGUGCUAUUGGUAACAAUAAGCAGGCUACGGUUUACAAGAAUCAUCAAACUAGUGGACAUAACUCUUGGCAGCAAAAAAGCAUUUUGGCGUCGGGUUAUUAUAAACUUGUGCAUGAUUGCUGUGCUAGGGAUGCAGAUGUACAUGCUAAGCCUAGAUGUACUCGUGGGCAUUUUUACGAGCAUGAUAAUCCAAGUGUCCCCCUUAGUGGUGGUGUCAUUUGGCAACUUCCAGAUUCCAGCAGCAGUGUUGCGUAUCGUGCUAGCAAUCUUGGGCCUUCAGCAUGUGCCUAA